CCCGUACCUAACCGAACAGGUGUCGAUGCAGAUGUGCCAUCGCACACAUCAAAGAGAGGAAUGUGGUAGAGGAAGCGAGCCCGUCCUCGGCCACCGGCGCUGGCGCCCAAACGCGCUGCUGCACGCCUUCUCUUCACCUGGACACCAGCCCACGAGCCUCUUCACCUCUUAUCCAAAAAGCCUUUUUUCCUCAGUCUCCUGCGGAUCUUACACGGCGCCCUCAACAGCAGUGGAUAAUCAGGUAUCCUUUACUUCCUCUGAGUUUAUUCUACUGCAGUUCCUGAGCAAGACUUGCAACUUCACUUAUUUCAUAAAUCAGAAGCUAUGUUCCAUUGAAGAUGAAAGUAUUAAUGAAAAUCUAGACUGAGCAGAAAAAUCUACAGGACACGUGGAGGAAACAUCCCACCCCCACCUCUUCACAUCAAAAAGGCCAUCCAGAGUAAAAAGGCCAGUCGAUGCACCGUUGCGCGCCCAUCUCAGCCACACGUCUCCUCCAGCCAGCAUCCAGAAGCAGCGCCGCCCACCGUCUCAUCCAUUUUCCUCUUUGAUUUCAUCGCAGAGUGAAGUAAUGUUACAAAAGUUUUACAAGAAAAACCGCGACAAAACCCAGAAAAGCCGAGACCGGAUCAAAUCUUUUUUUUUUUUUCUGUUGCCAAGCAAACAAGGAGCAUUUUACUCCGCAGUCUCAAUAAUGCAGACUGCUUUCAGCCCCGCAGAGCAUUAGGAUUUUAAGUGAGCAUGAAACACAAACCCUUCAAGCAGAUUAAAUUUCAAAUCAAGCAGGCCAUGUAAAUGAUGUGGUGACAGGGGGCCCAGUUCAAUUAGCAUGCCAGACUCAUGUUAAAGUAAUUAGGCAAAACAGACGGCAAGAGCACCCGGGCUAAGCACAAGCAGAAAAGAAGGACAAACAUUUCCAUAUUGUUCUUCGGGACAAGAGCGCAUGCGUGUCUGUGUGUGUGUGUGUGUGUGUGUCUGUGCAUUUUGUUUGAGGUCUUCCAGCACUUGACUUGCUUGCGGAUUUCUCAGAGGGAGUAAAAGGUUAAUGGGAGCUAGACUUUGUUUACUGACAGCACGCUGAGCCCUUUCGGAAAGACGACGGAAAUAAAGAAAACAAAUGCUGUGCAACUUGUUUAAAAAAAAAAAAAUGAGGAAAGGAAAGGGGAAAAACACUGACUCGCGA